GGAAUAUUGGGCAAUGGGCGAAAGCCUGACCCAGCAACGCCGCGUGAAGGAAGAAGGCCCUCGGGUUGUAAACUUCUUUUACCAGGGACGAAGAAAGUGACGGUACCUGGAGAAAAAGCAACGGCUAACUACGUGCCAGCAGCCGCGGUAAUACGUAGGUUGCAAGCGUUGUCCGGAUUUACUGGGUGUAAAGGGCGUGUAGGCGGAGAUGCAAGUCAGGAGUGAAAUCCCGGGGCUCAACCCCGGAACUGCUUUUGAAACUGUAUCCCUUGAGUGUCGGAGAGGCAAGCGGAAUUCCUAGUGUAGCGGUGAAAUGCGUAGAUAUUAGGAGGAACACCAGUGGCGAAGGCGGCUUGCUGGACGAUAACUGACGCUGAGGCGCGAAAGCGUGGGGAGCAAACAGGA
rnacentral:misc_RNA from 1 species